rnacentral:sRNA from 1 species
GCUGGGCGCGGUGGCGCAUGCCUGUAGUCCCACUACUCGGGAGGCUGAGGUGGGAGGAUCGCUUGAAUCCAGGAGUUCUGGGCUGUAGUGCGCUAUGCGACCAGGUGUCUGCACUAAGUUUGGUAUCAAUAUGGUGACCUCCCAGGAGCGGGGGGCCACCAGGUUGCCUAAGGAGGGGUGAACUGGCCCAGGUCGGAAAAAUAUUUAGCUAUUUUUAAAAUUGAAGCAUCAAUUCAUUUUUACAUAAAUAGUCUCUCUAGUUGGGAUUCUGUACUUCCUAAUCAUUCCCAGGUUUU